rnacentral:rRNA from 1 species
GACGAACGCUGGCGGCGUGCCUAAUACAUGCAAGUCGAACGAGAGCAACCGGUGCUUGCACUGGUCAAUCUAGUGGCGAACGGGUGAGUAACACGUGGGUAACCUGCCCAUCAGAGGGGGAUAACAUCCGGAAACGGAUGCUAAAACCGCAUAGGUCUUCGAACCGCAUGGUUUGAAGAGGAAAAGAGGCGCAAGCUUCUGCUGAUGGAUGGACCCGCGGUGCAUUAGCUAGUUGGUGAGGUAACGGCUCACCAAGGCCGUGAUGCAUAGCCGACCUGAGAGGGUGAUCGGCCAAAUUGGGACUGAGACACGGCCCAAACUCCUACGGGAGGCAGCAGUAGGGAAUCUUCCGCAAUGGACGCAAGUCUGACGGAGCAACGCCGCGUGAGUGAAGAAGGUUUUCGGAUCGUAAAACUCUGUUGUUAGAGAAGAACAAGUGCUAGAGUAACUGUUAGCGCCUUGACGGUAUCUAACCAGAAAGCCACGGCUAACUACGUG